UAAUUCCGUCAUUUUCCCGUUUCCAUAUUUCGCAAUUUCCCAUCUCUCUUUCUCUCUCUUCUCUCUCAGUCUCGUGUGAUCUGCGUCGAGGUCGUUUUGACCCGCAACCUUCUUCAACGUCGUAGACGCCCCGGAAUUCAUUUCCGCACUUCCAUCUUCCCUGAUUCCGAUUCGCAAUCUCAGAUUCUCCCCACACUCGUGAUUCGCAACUGAAGAGAAAAACCUAAACGCCUCCGUCGAUUCUUCUUCUUCUUUUGUCUUGUCGUUUCUACAAUUUAUUUUUUGGCGCUGCUGGCGUUGCCGUUUUGCGCGGUGGUGAGCGUCGUUUUGGGUGGGUGGUGGAAAGAUGAAGUCCUCACUCAACAAGCUGAGGAAAUUGGCACUUAACAAGAGCGUUGGGAAGGACAAGAGGGACUUUCCACCUUCCGUUAAGUUCGAUGAGCUUGCUCUCGCUUCCAAGGAAAUGCAAGAGAUGAGAGAUUGCUAUGACAGCCUACUCGCGGCUGCGGCUGCGACAGAAAACAGUGCUUACGAAUUUGCAGAGUCACUACGGGAAAUGGGCAAUUGUCUUUUGGAGAAAACUUCAUUAGAUGAUUCUGAAGAAAGCGGUAAAGUUUUGGAGAUGCUUGGAAGUGCACAGCUGGAACUUCAAAAACUUCUUGAUAGCUAUCGAGCUCACAUAGUACUGACAAUAACAAACCCAUCAGAGUCUCUUCUUAAUGAACUAAGAACUGUUGAGGACAUGAAGCGGCAAUGUGAUGAAAAAAGAGAAGUUUAUGAAUACAUGAUCACCCAACAGAAAGAAAAAGGAAGGUCAAAAAGCAGUAAAGGCGAAAGUAUUACUCCACAGCAGCUGCAAGAAGCUCAUGACGAGUUUGAAGAAGAAGCAACGCUUUGUGCUUUUCGGUUAAAAUCCUUGAAACAAGGGCAGUUACGCAGUCUGCUAACACAAGCAGCCCGUCACCAUGCUGCCCAGUUAAAUUUCUUCCGGAGAGGACUUAAAUCUCUAGAGGCCAUUGAACCACAUGUUAGGAUGAUCGCUGAGCAACAACAUAUUGAUUAUGAAUUCAGUGGCCUUGAAGAUGUCGUUGAAGGUGUUUCUGAUGAUGAAUACACGGAAGCCAUUGAAGGAGGAGAAUUAAGUUUUGACUACAGAACAAACAGGCAGGGUCCUGAUAUUGAUUCCACAUCAAACUCAGAGUUGGAGGAAUCAGAUCUCUCGUUUGUUCGAGGUUCAACCACAGAAAAUGCAGAGAUGAUAUGUUUAGAGAAGACCCAAGGAGACUUUAAAGUCCCUAGCAGAGAUCCAAGGGUCAGCAGCUAUUCAGCUCCAAUACUUGCAGAAAAGAAAGUUAAAUUUGACCCGGCUGAAAAAGUAAGACAAAUGCUAGCAUCACCUACCACUAAGUCCAGUGCUUAUGUACUUCCUACCCCUCUCAACAUUAAAGAAUCAAAAGGUAGCUCUGUCCCUCGCCCAAGUGCAAGUGGGCUUCCUCAUAAUUUGUGGCAUUCUUCCCCAUUGGAUGAAAAGAAAAAUGAGAAAGAUUUUGUUGAUGGCAAAUUGUCAGAACCAACUAUCCCUAGACCACACACUGUUCUUAAAGAAAGCAACAGUGAUACUACAUCAACCCAAUUACCCCGCCCUUUAUCAGAUGGACUAUCUCCCCCACAAGUUGAUAUUUUCAGUGCUUCUGAUGCAGGUAAGAAAACCAAAAGACUAGCGUUUUCAGGUCCAUUGACAAAUAAACCAUCAUCAGGGAAACCUGUUUUAUCUGCCAUUUCUACAGGGUCAACUGAACCACCUCCUAUUUCUGUGGUUUUAACUCGUUUACCAGUGCCUCAGCCUUCUUCCCCAAAAGUAUCUCCUAGUGCUUCACCUCCUCUUGUUUCUUCCCCUAGGAUAAGUGAGCUUCACGAGCUCCCUAGACCCCCUGGUAAUCCAUCCACUAAGCAAGUGAAAUCUUCUAGAACAGGUCACUCUGCACCAUUAGUAUUCAGAAAUCCAGAGCAUCCUGUGAUCAAUAGACUUCCUACAGCUGUAUCAAGUGCAGCUUCUCCACUUCCAACACCCCCAAUAAUUGUCUCCCGAAGCUUUUCUAUUCCUUCUAGUAGUCAAAGGGCUAUGGCAUUAAAUGUUAGCAAGUUUUUGGAUAAUCCCCAAGUUUCAGAGCAGGCUGCAGAAUCUGCAUCCCCGCUAACACCUGCAAGCCAGAGAGCAAGAAUAUCUGACCUGGCUUCUCACUCUAGUGAAAUCCAAGGCUCAAACUUUGGACGGAUAGGAUAUCCUGCUGCAGCUCAAACAUGAAACUUCUUCUGGCAACAGUUCAAAAUAUAUUUCUGUGAUAAUAAAUUCCAUUUUUAAAAUUUUGGUUGGGCAAAUUGUAGAAUGUGUGGUCAGCUCAUGCUUAGUUCUUACUACCAGUUAUAGCAGGAUUUAUUCCUUUUCAUGUGUUUGAUCGAAAAUUGCUAAACCAUUUAAUAUAUACUCCAUAAUGAGUACUUGAGAAAAUAUUAGCAGAACUAGUUAAACAAAUCAGCCCAGCAAUUUGAUUAACCUCAUUAUUUGGGUUGCAAUUGUAUCUGCAAGCUGUAAUGUUUCACUGCAAUGACCAUUUUUGCUUAAGAAUCAAUAUUCAAUCCUGAUUCCACCAUGCUAAUGGGGGGAAAUUAUGUCUUUUGUUUCUUUUAUUUUAUAUCUUAUAUUCCAUUUAUUAUUUUGUUCUUACUCAUUUAUGAAUCUUGUGAAUCACUAACUCAUCUGAUAAUUCUAAUACGUGAAUAUGAAGUAAACAUUUUAGGAAGUGGAUUGUCGACAGUGUCAUACCUACCCAAUAUAAUAUCUUUUAUAACCUUACAGAGUUGUUACCAAGAGAUGCACAAAAACUGGUCUUUAACGGCUAAUAUAUUUCACUGUCAUCCCUCUACUUGCAGUUAGAUGAAUCUGUUAAUAGAGCGCCUAAGAAGUAGUGGAAUCCAUUAUGUAACAGCCAAGCCUUACUCUUGGAUUGACUAGUAUUACAAGUACCAUAUCUCUUUAGGAUAUGGUCUCGAAGUCUCUAAGAGAGUUUAUAAGUAUGAGGCAUCUCUCACCUCUUGAGCUAGCUUUUGAGUUGAUGCAGGUGGGAGCUGAAUUUCAUGCACAUUCGCCCGGGCUUUCCGAGUUCUUAGGGACAAAAGUGUUUUAAUUCUUAUAUUGCUUGUGGAAUCCGUAUCACUAGCAUUGCAGAGUUCUAGGGUUUUUCCCGGCAGAAAUUUCAGGCAAGAAUAUGUAAAUAUGCCGUUUUAUGUAUUGUUUAGCUUCUCAUCUCAAUUUGUAUCUAUAUUUUUAUUUUUAUAUAACCAACGAUGAUGGGAACUAAACUCUACAUCAUUGUGUCAUUACAUUAUGUCGUGUAUAGAUUCAGACGAAAAAUUUUGUUCACUUCUCGGAGUAAAAUUCAACUUGGACCUCUUCAACUUGUGGACGAUUAAAGUUGUCUAGAAACAGAUUCAGAUGCUCACCUCCCAUAUAUGAAUUUAGAUAUCUUAAAGUGGAAAAAUUUGUAAAGUGAUGAAUUGUAGGACUAGAUAUCAUUUGGCCAAUAACUUUCACUAUAAGUUUGCUUUCACAAAAUUAUUCAAAGGUGAUUACUCGCCUUAUUUUAUCACUGA